AAUCAACGCUGGCGGCGUGCCUCAGACAUGCAAGUCGAACGCGAAAGUUCCCUUCGGGGAGCGAGUAGAGUGGCGUCCGGGUGAGUAACACGUAGGUAAUCUACCUUUGGGUGGGGAAUAACAAUCGGAAACGGUUGCUAAUACCGCAUAAUGCAGCGGCACCGCAUGGUGACAGUUGUUAAAGCGGGGGAGUCGCAAGACCUCGCGCCUAAAGAGGAGCCUGUGGCGGAUAGUCUAGUUGGCAGGGUAACGGCCUACCAAGGCGACGAUCCGUAGCCGGCCUGAGAGGGCGGCCGGCCACACUGGGACUGAGACACGGCCCAAACUCCUACGGGAGGCAGCAGUGGGGAAUAUUGGACAAUGGGCGAAAGCCUGAUCCAGCCAUGCCGCGUGAGUGAUGAAGGCCUUAGGGUUGUAAG
rnacentral:rRNA from 1 species